rnacentral:rRNA from 1 species
AUUGAACGCUGGCGGCAGGCCUAACACAUGCAGGUCGAGCGGACGAAGGGAGCUUUUUCCUGGAUUCAGCGGGGGACGGGUGAGUAAUGCCCAGGAGUCUGCCUUGCAGUGGGGGAUAACGUCCGGAAACGGGCGCUAAUACCACAUACGUCCUGAUAGAGAAAGUGAGGGUUCUUUGGAGAUCACGCGAUCAGAUGAGCCUAGGUCGGAUUAGCUAGUUGGUGAGGUAACGGCGUACCAAGGCGACGAUCCGUAACUGGUCUGAGAGGAUGAUCAGCCACACUGGAACUGAGACACGGUCCAGACUCCUACGGGAGGCAGCAGUGGGGAAUCUUGCACAAUGGGCGAAAGCCUGACCCAGCCACGCCGCGUGUGUGAAGAAGGUCUUCGGAUCGUAAAGCACUUUAAUUUGGGAGGAACGAAAGUAUAUUAAUCCCUUCACGUCUUGACGUUACCUACUCAGUAAGCCCCGGCUAACUACGUG